rnacentral:rRNA from 1 species
UACAGAGGGGGGCAAGCGUUAUUCGGAAUUAUUGGGCGUAAAGGGCGCGUAGGCGCCUGGCAAGUGGAUGGUGAAAUCCCUCGGCUUAACCGAGGAACUGCCAUCCAGACUGCUUGGCUUGAGACCGGGAGAGGUGAGUGGAAUUCCCAGUGUAGCGGUGAAAUGCGUAGAUAUCAGGAGGAACACCGGUGGCGAAGGCGGGUCUCUGGGCAGUAACUGACGCUGAGGAGCGAAAGCGUGGGGAGCGAACAGG